rnacentral:rRNA from 1 species
UGCCAGCCGCCGCGGUAAUACGGAGGGGGCUAGCGUUGCUCGGAAUCACUGGGCAUAAAGCGCACGUAGGCGGCCUAUCAAGUCAGAUGUGAAAGCCCCCGGCCCAACCGGGGAACUGCAUCUGAAACUGGUAGGCUCGAGGAUGGCAGGGGUGAGUGGAACUCCAGGUGGAACGGUGAAAUGUGUAGAUAUCUAGAGGAACACCGGUGGCGAAAGCGGCUCACUGGACCGAAUCUGACGCUGAGGUGCGAAAGCUAGGGUAGCAAACGGGAUUAGAUA